CGCAUUCCAUGGCGUGUCGCC
rnacentral:miRNA from 1 species